UGGCGGACGGGGGAGUAAUGUCUGGGAAACUGCCCGAUGGAGGGGGGUAACUACUGGAAACGGUAGCUAAUACCGCAUAACGUCGCAAGACCAAAGAGGGGGACCUUCGGGCCUCUUGCCAUCGGAUGUGCCCAGAUGGGAUUAGCUAGUAGGUGGGGUAAAGGCUCACCUAGGCGACGAUCCCUAGCUGGUCUGAGAGGAUGACCAGCCACACUGGAACUGAGACACGGUCCAG
rnacentral:rRNA from 1 species